CUGCAAUUCAUAAUCAGAAAGAGUAUGAAGGGUCUAUCAGCAUCCACCACUGCUUCUUCCUAUUGCUGUUGUUUAAGUAAAUUCAAGAAAAUUAAGCACCUGCUCCUGGUAUACUUUUCAAAUUCAACAGAUAGACAAUUUGACAAAAUAAUUAAAUAAAUUUUAAAACUCUAGCUCCCAAAACGUGCCCCACAUGCUCAACAACAAGUCAGAAUUAAAAAAAAAAAAGAAACCACGUGAAUUCAGGAGUCAAAAUGCUAGUUGGUGCACAGCCUAACUUCAAGGCACCCUGAUGCAGGUCAGCUGGACACACAAAACACAGCAUUCCAUACAGAGAGCGAUCUGAAGGGAUGUCCUGAAGGAUGGAUUUGUGCUUUAUUAGUGCUCCAGUGCUACCAGGAUACAUGGACAUCCAUUUGGGCCUUGCAGUCUGGAAAAUUCUGAGACCCUUUCUUCCACACUCCCAAAAAAAGAGAGAAGAAAUCACUGCUUGCUUUCAGGCUACUGUUUUUUUGUAGGAGAGGACUGUACACAUGCUGUUAGCCUCCAAGAUCAAGGCUUACUUCUCUGCAUCACUGUCUCAGGACAAGGCAGAUUCAGAAAAAUAAAAGAGCUCAUCCCAGGGGCAUCCUGGACCCAUCACAACUGCAGUGCUACCAGAAAAGAGACCGAAUCAUCACUGUUUUUAGAAGCAUGUUCUAUCAUCCCCAGGCUAUGAUACCCUUGGAGAGAAAUUGAGAUCAAAUGGAGGAUCAAUCGCCAUGAAGAAGGGCUCAGCUCUUCCCAUUCACUCCAGAGGAAUCCAAUAAGAACUCAUAAUUAAUGUAGCCUCCAAUGUUAAGACACUGGAAGAGGAGGAAUAUUUUUCUUUUAAUUUCUACUUUAUUUUGUAACAGGUAGGACAAGCUAUAAAAUAUCUAUUUAUAUCAGGAGUUUAUACUUUUGUUGACAGACCAUUCUACAUUCCCACUUGUUAAUCUUACUGUAGCUCAAGACUUUUCAAGAAAGUCUCACUUGCCCACUUUGAUGACUUUUUAUGCUUGAAGAGCACUAACUACCUUUUCUCUGUUGUUCUGUCCUCAAGAUUCUGAUUUUCUCUGAAGAAGCUCUGCUAAAGCACAAAAUAUUGUACUAGGAAAUGAUAGCAAAAAGUUGCCAUUCUGGCUUGAAUAGAAAUAUUGCAGCAAUUUUUAUUAAAUGUGGUCCUCCC
rnacentral:lncRNA from 1 species